rnacentral:sRNA from 1 species
GAUGCUAGGGCCAAAAGGUCUAAACCCACAUGAGCUUGCUCAUAAGUGGGUGAAGGACCUUGAGGCCCGCCCCGAUAUGAGCAUAAAAGUAGGAUGAUAAUCCCACGAUAUGCGAAUGUCGAUGAGGAUUGUGGGAGUGCGUAGCACGGAACAAUCCGCAGGCAUC